UACGAAGGGGGCUAGCGUUGCUCGGAAUCACUGGGCGUAAAGCGCAUGUAGGCGGAUCUUUAAGUCAGGGGUGAAAUCCUGGAGCUCAACUCCCGAACUGCCUUUGAUAUUGGGGAUCUCGAGUCCGGAAGAGGUGAGUGGAACUCCGAGUGUAGAGGUGAAAUUCGUAGAUAUUCGGAAGAACACCAGUGGCGAAGGCGGCUCACUGGUCCGGUACUGACGCUGAGGUGCGAAAGCGUGGGGAGCAAACAGG
rnacentral:rRNA from 1 species